rnacentral:rRNA from 1 species
UACGGAGGGUGCAAGCGUUAUCCGGAUUCACUGGGUUUAAAGGGUGCGUAGGAGGGCAGGUAAGUCAGUGGUGAAAUCUCCGAGCUUAACUUGGAACUGCCGUUGAUACUAUCUGCCUUGAAUAUUGUGGAGGUGAGCGGAAUAUGUCAUGUAGCGGUGAAAUGCUUAGAUAUGACAUAGAACACCAAUUGCGAAGGCACUCGCUACACAUAUAUUGACUCUGAGGCACGAAAGCGUGGGGAUCAAACAGG